GCGUGUCAUCAGAAGACGCGGCGCAGAGUGACACGAAUGCAGACAAACUACCAUCAUGACAGAUAAGGGGAGAAAAACUGCAAGAAAAAAGUUUGGUGUCAGUGUGUUCUUCAGGCUGCAGCUGAUUUAAGGUUCACUCUCGAACAUUAAGGGACGCCAAGAGUCUUGACGGCUGAAGCGGCGUUGACAAACAUUCAGAUUUCAUCACCUGAGGCAGCGCACGACUUCUUAUCCAAAAAGAAAACACUAACCAAACAUUCAUUUCAACCGACGAGAUGCUUCUUUUAACCCUCGUGGUUAACUCACUGUUAACCAGUUCACUGGUGUCGUUUUGAGCACUUAUAUUUCACAGUUCAAACCAUUCUUUCCCAAAGACUGCGUCGUGUCCCUCAGGUGGGUUGCAUGAACUUCCUUCAUCUCACAUCAUGUUUCCCAGGAGUUCACGGUCAACGCAACAGUCUGCAUCCAACUUCAAAAUGGCUGCCAGUUUAAAAGCUCCACCUGUGGUUAUGUUUAAAACUUGAGUAACACUAAUUGAGUA